UAGAGUAUUGGAAGGUUAGGAGGAGGCAAACUCUCAGGAUCAAUGUUUUGUACAAGUUGUUUGACUGGAUGAGGAAUUGCUUUGCAUAUUUUAUUAAAUUCAGCUUUUUUGCAGGUAAUAUUAUGAAUGGAGCAGAAGUUUUCAUAUAACAGCCAGUUGCCCUGAUUAUCCAUAAGGUGGGCCAACCGUGGACAGAGAUCCUUACAAAGAAGAUAACUGGUUAAGUGAUGAACGCCAGUGUCAGGAAGCAAUAGCUCUGAUGAAGCACACAGCAGAUGAAUCGGUGGUAAAGGAGAAGAUGAAGUUAACCCUGGUCUAUCGUCAGAAGAUUUUGCAUGACCCUGACAAGUCAUCUGACAUUCUAACCAUUUUCCCACGAUUCAUGGACAUACCUGGUCUGAGUGAGCAGGAUUUUACACUUCUUUUUGGUGACUCAACCUCUGCAAAGCUGUUGGAGAAAUGGUCCACCAACAUAAAACCAAAGGUCAUUGCACAGUGCCUGAC